UCCCUGUGGGAACAGAGGUGCAGCGGCCUGGGCUGCAGGGGAAGACAGAAAGGGGGAGGAGGCGGCUUCAGACCACAGCCCAAGCUUCUCCCCUCACAACCCCCACACUGCACACCCCAAGUCACCACCCUCCUCUGAUUGGCUACACCUUUGUGACGUCGAACGCUCCCCCUCCAGCUUUGCAAACAAUCCAAUCAGGUGCGCCCGCGCAGUAUUACGUAAACACGCGGGCUCUUCGCGUCACAGUGGUAGUCAGGCUCUGCCGCCCAGGGGGCCAGGGUGUUCAGCCUCUUCCCGUCUGUGAAAAGGAAGCCGGACGGCUCAGAAGUUUGGUGUCUGGAGAAGGGGAGGCGGAGUUGGCGGACCUGCUGGAACUGGAUGCAGGGGGCCCUGCACUUCCCCGUGGUCGGCUCUGGAAUCUGUGGCCAUGGCCUUGGGCAAAGUACAAUUUGACAGUGAGAGACAGAGGGAAAGGUCUUCCUUCCAUUGGUUCACCCCCCAAAUGGCCGCUACUAUCAGCAGGCUGCACCGAUCCAAAGCCAGGAGCCAGGAACUUCCUCCUGGUCUCCCAUCUGGGUGCAGGGGCCCAAGCACUUGGGCCACCCUCCACUGCCUUCCAGGGCCACAACAGAGAGCUGGACUGGAAGAGGAGCAACUGGGACUAGAACCCGGCGCCCAUAAGGCAUUGGUGUCAUUUGAAGACCUGGCUAUGAACUUCACCUGGGAGGAGUGGCAGGGCCUGGACAAUGCUCAAAGAAUCCUAUACAGGGAUGUGAUGCUGGAGACCUAAAGCUGCCUGCUGUCAUUGGGUGAGUGAAACUGUUCAGUCACACAGAGUUGGUAUGGUUUAUUAUAUGAACGUGUUAAGGGAAAAGCCAUAUAAAGCUCACAAAUAAAUAUCUUUUAUGAUUAUGUUAAAUCAUAUGCCACUGAGACAACAAAGAUAACAAGUCCUUCAUUUCUUUUACAUGAACAUUCCAGGAGAAACAGUUAGAUGUGAUUCAUGGUAAGUGUUUUUUUUUUUUUUUUUCAUUUCAGUAGUAGCCCAGAAAAGAGAUGACCUGAUUGGGACCAACCAGGACAAUGCAGACAUAAGUUUGAUAAGUUUGAUUCCAGAUGUAAUGACAAAUAACAUAUCAGUUCACAAGAGAGUUAAGAAAAACAC